rnacentral:piRNA from 1 species
UCAUGCUCGAGCUUGCCAGAGUCCC